rnacentral:lncRNA from 10 species
ACUUGCUCAGAGCCCGUUCCCAGCACCGCAGCUCCCUCCACUAUUCUGGGCUGGGUGGGGAGCCCUGGCUGCUCCAAGGGGGCUGCUUGGCCCAAUUCUGGGCAUCCCCGGGGUGUGCUAGCUUUGCCCUAGGCUGCUCCCUGGAAGCGAGGUUGACACAACUCCUUCCCCACACACAGGAGUGGAGCGACUACAAACUGCGCUGGAACCCCACUGAUUUUGGCAACAUCACAUCUCUCAGGGUCCCUUCUGAGAUGAUCUGGAUCCCCGACAUUGUUCUCUACAACAAGUGAAGGAGGACUGGAAGUAUGUUGCCAUGGUCAUCGACAGGAUCUUCCUCUGGCUGUUUAUCAUCGUCUGCUUCCUGGGGACCAUCGGCCUCUUUCUGCCUCCGUUCCUAGCUGGAAUGAUCUGACUGCACCUCCCUCGAGCUGGCUCCCAGGGCACCCCCGCUGACCAUCUUUUGACCGUCUCUGCUACAGCUGCCUCUGGUGUCCCCUUUGGGAUGAGCAGGUGCCUCUCCGCGGAGUCUGGACACUGACCCAGGGAUUGCAGGCUUCCAUCCAGCUUAACGUUAUUGUACCAGGGCUGACAGCCUGCUGGGUGCAAAGCCCUGUUUUGGAUACGGAGGAGCUGGGGAAGCUCUGCAGAAGGUCGCAAUAGUGUGGUGACCAAGUGGGGCAGAGUAAGAUUCUCCUGGAGGAGCAGUGCAGACCCUAAGUGACAGAAGGGUCAACCAGGGGGACAGUGGGGCCAGGGUGACGAGGAAGGGAAUGCAGACCUCAAAGGAGGGGCCGUGGGGGCAAAGGGGAGGGUUCUUGGAUGUGGAAGGGCUUUGAACAAUGUUUAGAUUUGGAGAUGAGCCCAAAGUGCCAGGGAGAACAGCCAGGUGAGGUGGGAGGUUGGAGAGCCAGGUGAGGUCUCUGUAAGUCAGGCUGGGGUUGAAGUUUGGAGUCUGUCCGAGUUUGCAGGGUGCUGAGCUGUAUGGUCCAGCAGGGGAGUAAUAAGGGCUCUUCUGGAAGGGGAGGAAGCGGGAGGCAGGGCCUGCACCUGAUGUGGAGGUACAGGGCAGAUCUUCCCUACCGGGGAGGGAUGGAUGGUUGGAUACAGGUGGCUGGGCUAUUCCAUCCAUCUGGAAGCACAUUUGAGCCUCCAGGCUUCUCCUUGACGUCAUUCCUCUCCUUCCUUGCUGCAAAAUGGCUCUGCACCAGCCGGCCCCCAGGAGGUCUGGCAGAGCUGAGAGCCAUGGCCUGCAGGGGCUCCAUAUGUCCCUACGCGUGCAGCAGGCAAACAAGAAAGACCAUCCUGAGCUGCUCCUGACCCACCUCAAACUCAUCUCAUUUGGCCUGUCCUCCCUCCCUUCACCCCUCCUUCCCUCCCCAGGAACCCUGUUCCCUGUGCCUGGCUCCAUCAGGAGGAGGCCUCACUUGGGAGUUGAAGAUCUUUGCCUUUAGUUCCUUUGAUUCUG